UACAGAGGUCUCAAGCGUUGUUCGGAUUCAUUGGGCGUAAAGGGUGCGUAGGUGGCAUGGUAAGUCGGAUGAGAAAUCCCGGGGCUCAACCCCGGAACUGCAUUCGAUACUGCUGCGCUAGAGUACUGGAGAGGAGAUUGGAAUUUACGGUGUAGCAGUGAAAUGCGUAGAUAUCGUAAGGAAGACCAGUGGCGAAGGCGGAUCUCUGGACAGUUACUGACACUGAGGCACGAAGGCCAGGGGAGCAAACGGG
rnacentral:rRNA from 1 species